AGCGAACGCUGGCGGCAGGCCUAACACAUGCAAGUCGAACGGAUCCUUCGGGAUUAGUGGCGGACGGGUGAGUAACACGUGGGAACGUGCCCUUUGGUUCGGAACAACUCAGGGAAACUUGAGCUAAUACCGGAUGUGCCCUUCGGGGGAAAGAUUUAUCGCCAUUGGAGCGGCCCGCGUCUGAUUAGCUAGCUGGUGAGGUAACGGCCCACCAAGGCGACGAUCAGUAGCUGGUCUGAGAGGAUGAUCAGCCACACUGGGACUGAGACACGGCCCAGACUCCUACGGGAGGCAGCAGUGGGGAAUCUUGCGCAAUGGGCGAAAGCCUGACGCAGCCAUGCCGCGUGAAUGAUGAAGGUCUUAGGAUUGUAAAAUUCUUUCAGCGGGGACGAUAAUGACGGUACCCGCAGAAGAAGCUCCGGCUAACUUCGUG
rnacentral:rRNA from 1 species